UAGAGAGACGUUAUAUAUUAUGCAUCGCCGAUCCCGCCAACCUAUCUUUUCGAUUGAGUGAGAGUCCGUGAAAGCUUACAGUUCAGUUCGCUUUUUGUCUCUCUCUAUCCCUCCCUUAAUUCUCAAAAUUCUGCACAUAUUAUGCCAAAUUAAAUUAAUGCACAAUACAUUCACUUCUCCUUUAAUUCUUUCUUCCCUACUAUCUAUUCUGACUAGAUUGUGUUUGCCUGGUUCGGCGUUUCUUCAGCUAGCGGUUACUUGAUGGGCUGCUCCCCCUCCAGAAUUGACCAUCUCCCAGCGGUUUCCCUUUGUCAAGCCCGCUGCAAGUUCCUCGAAGAAGCGCUAUACCAAAGUUAUGCCCUUGCCGAUGCUCACGUCGCCUACAUGCACUCCCUCAAGGCUCUUGGCCCCUCCCUCUGUCGUUUCUUUGGUCAAAACCUUUAUAAUAAUAAUAAUCAUUCGAAUGCUGACUCCGCUGUCGCUAAACCUGAUCCCUCCAAGUCUUCUCUUUCACCUGGUCACUAUCCCUCGAGUUCAAACUCUGAGCCGCACCUCGAUUUUCCUUCUGAUUCAGAGGAUGAAGAAUUUAAGGACACAGAUUUUGAUCUUCUUCACCGAAUCCACCCCAAUGAUUUUGAUCGCCAAACCCCGACUCCAUCUAGGUUAUAUUCGUACUCUUAUAGUGACCAUAAUAAGUACGAAUACUACACAAAUAGUGUGGGUUUGUUUCGUUCUCGUGAGUCUCCUUACGCAGCGUCUUCUCCAGACGGUGGUUCUUCUUGGAAAACCCCCUCGCCUCCUCCCAGCGGUUCCACUUGGGAGUUCUUGAAUUUGUUCGAUACAUAUGAGAGAUACGAAUUAUCGGUUAAGGAUAAACAAGGGCUUCAUGAGCUUAAAGGUGAGCUAGAGAAUAAAGUUCGCGAGGAUUCCGUGAAUUUGGCGGGAGAUGAGAAACAGCGAAAGACCAUAUUGAAGGUAGAAAGUGAUGUGAAGCUGUAUGAGGUUCAUGUGGUGCACACAAAUGUUGUUUCGGAGAAAGAGAAGAUUGAUUUUGUCGAGUCUAAGAAACAAAAUACCACUGAGGUUAUGAGAGAACUGGAGGCUCUAUUUGAGAGAGCUUCAGAUUCAGGAAAUCAAUUAUUAAAGAUCCUUGAUACAGGAAAAUUCCGCUGCUAUCACAAGACUUCUAUCUAUCAAGGAGUUUCUUCCAAGAUGUUGCGCGCGUUUCCCCCAUCCCUUUUGGUCAUACAUUCUACAAAUACUGAGUCCUCAUCUACAGAGAAGAUUGGUUCUGUUGGUCUGGGUUUUGAUGAAGAUUUGGCUGUGAUUUCGUUGAAUUUGUCUUCCACUCUCAAGAAGCUAUGCAUGUGGGAGAAGAAAACUAUGAUGAAGUCAAGGCUGAAGAAAAAUUGCGUAUUAUGAUUGCAAGGAACUAUAGGCAGAUAAAAAAUAUUGGCAAGAAAGGUGCAGAUGCCAAUGAAGUUGAUUCUGCUCAAACUUUAGUCAGGGCAUUAUCUACUAAAAUCAAAGUUGCAAUUCAAGUUAUUGACAGAACUUCGAUUACUAUCAGUAAGCUAAGGGAUGAAGAAAUGUGGCCAUUAAUGAGUGAACUGAUUCAAAAAUUACUUGAAAUGUGGAAAGCCAUGCUAGAAUGCCACAGACAUCAAUCCCAGGCAGUUCUGGAAGCUAGAGGUUUAGAUGCCAUUUUAUCCAAUGGGAAAUUCAGUGAGAUUCAUUUGGAAGCGGGAAUACAACUCAAAAUUGAACUUCAAAAUUGUAAUCUGAGCUUCUCCAAUUGGAUCAGUGCCCAAAAAGGCUAUGUCAAGGCCUUGAAUGAUUGGAUUCUAAAAUGUCUUCCAUAUGAACCUGAAGAAAUGCCAGAUGAAACAGAACCAUUUUCUUCUGGUAAGGCAGGGGUGCCCCCUGUGUUUGCGUUCUUUAACCAGUGGUCACAUGCCAUAGGUGCAGUCUCAGAGAUGGAAGUGAUCAACUCCAUGUAUGGACUUUUCAUGAGUAUAAAUCAAUUAGUAGAAAGGCAUUAUAAACACUUACAGCAAAGACUGACUGCAGACAAGGAUUUGAAGAACAGAAUAAAGAUCUUACAGAGAGAGGAGAGAAGGAUGCAAAAGGUACUGCAAGCUCAAGGGAAGAAGAUGCUUCUAGCCAGUAGGAAUACAAGGGGCACCCCUGGAGGGGCUUUGCAUCAGAGUAAAAUGACCAACAAUAAUAGUAUUCAAUCUUGUCUGAAAAAAAUGUUCACAGCUAUAGAGAGAUGCUCAGCCAACAGUGUGCAAGUUUACCAGGAACUUCAUGUGCGGGUUGAAGAAUGCAGCCUCACUCGAGGAGGGAAACCAGAAGAUCCUUAAACACUGUACAUUUGGGUACUCAUAUUAACUUGAUUAAUUAACAAGGAAUUUCCUAGAAGAAAUUCCUGAAACAAUUAUUAGCUAAUGCAGCAAUGGGAGGCUGAGUUUUUUUGUUCA